rfam:Felis catus isolate Cinnamon breed Abyssinian chromosome A3, whole genome shotgun sequence.
GCCUGGGUGGCUCAGUCGGUUGAGCAUCCGACUAUGACUCAGGUCAUGAACUCGUGGAUCGUGAGUUCAAGCCCCACGUCAGGCU